rnacentral:tRNA from 1 species
GGCCCCGUCGUCCAGUGGCCCAGGACGCCGGCCUUUCAAGCCGGAAACGCCGGUUCGAAUCCGGUCGGGGCUG